rnacentral:rRNA from 1 species
AUGGCUUUUGCGGGCGCAUCUCUCGUCGCCGACGGCAAGUUAUGCGCCGCCACCGAGUCGGUCGUUGACUCUGGCGCGGACUGCGGGUACCACUUGCUCUUUGUCCAAGGCUACUCACGCACCAAUUUCAUUGACCAGCCCGAGUUGCGGGUGCCAAAGCACAUCCGCCAAAGCCAACCAGUUUACUUGGAUGAACGUCUCGAUGGCCAGUAUGAAUUCAUGAAAAUAAAGGAUUUUGAAAGAUCAAGGCAUCUCAAGGACGACAGCUUCAUCCUCCGGUGUGACCUUGUUGUGUGCAAGCCGGGCACGAAUACCAAGGGGCAGAGCGCCUGCUCCGCCGCCCGUCCGUUCACAAAAUUGCCACCGCCUGACUUGCAAAGCCGUCUUGCCAAUCUCCUCCUGAGCAAGGAGUGUGCUGACAUUACAUUUGAGGUUGGCGGCGAGGAGUUUGCUGCGCAUCGUUGCCUGCUUGUGGCCCGAUCGACCGUAUUCAGGGCACAACUCUCUGGUGCCAUGAAUGAAUCGUGUGUUGUCAAGAUAAGUGGCAUCAAAGCAGACGUCUUUAGGGGCUUGCUUACCUUCAUCUACACUGAUGCAGUACCUGACUUCAUGGAAGCAGAUGAUGAUGACGUUGAAACAUUUGCAACCCGGCUGCUGGAGUUCCUUGAAGCUGCGGAAAGAUAUGAUCUCGAAAAGCUCAAAACGGUCUGUGAAGAGAAGUUGGCCGAUUUCUUAUGUGCAGACAUGGAGUCAGACAUCAUUGUCAAUGAGCUUCUCUCCAAGUUUGCGUUGCUGAACCUCUGA